rnacentral:tRNA from 3 species
GGACCUGUAGCUCAGUAGAGUAAGAGCGCUUGAGUGAAAUCCAAGAGGUCGCUGGUUCAAAUCCAGCCGGGUCCAC